GACAGAGGGUGCAAACGUUGUUCGGAAUUACUGGGCGUAAAGCGCGUGUAGGCUGCUCAGAAAGUCGGAUGUGAAAGCCCUGGGCUUAACCUAGGAAGUGCAUUCGAAACUUUCUGAGCUGGAGUCCUGGAGAGGAAGGCGGAAUUCUCGGUGUAGAGGUGAAAUUCGUAGAUAUCGAGAGGAACACCGGUGGCGAAGGCGGCCUUCUGGACAGUGACUG
rnacentral:rRNA from 1 species